AGCGAACGCUGGCGGCAGGCCUAACACAUGCAAGUCGCACGGUUGGGGGCAACCCUGGCAGUGGCGGACGGGUGAGUAACGCGUAGGAAUCUAUCCUUGGGUGGGGGACAACCGUGGGAAACUACGGCUAAUACCGCAUGAUCCCUGAGGGGGCAAAGGCGAGAGUCGCCUGAGGAGGAGCCUGCGUCUGAUUAGGUAGUUGGUGGGGUAAAGGCCUACCCAAGCCUGCGAUCAGUAGCUGGUCUGAGAGGAUGAUCAGCCACAUUGGGACUGAGACACGGCCCAAACUCCUACGGGAGGCAGCAGUGGGGAAUAUUGGACAAUGGGCGCAAGCCUGAUCCAGCAAUGCCGCGUGGGUGAAGAAGGUCUUCGGAUUGUAAAGCCCUUUCGACGGGGACGAUGAUGACGGUACCCGUAGAAGAAGCCCCGGCUAACUUCGUG
rnacentral:rRNA from 1 species